UACGGGGGGGGCAAGCGUUGUUCGGAAUUACUGGGCGUAAAGGGCUCGUAGGCGGCCAACUAAGUCAGACGUGAAAUCCCUCGGCUUAACCGGGGAACUGCGUCUGAUACUGGGUGGCUUGAAUCCGGGAGAGGGAUGCGGAAUUCCAGGUGUAGCGGUGAAAUGCGUAGAUAUCUGGAGGAACACCGGUGGCGAAGGCGGCAUCCUGGACCGGCAUUGACGCUGAGGCGCGAAAGCCAGGGGAGCAAAGCGGG
rnacentral:rRNA from 1 species